GCCGACCCCUCGCGUGGCAGCAUCUCGCUGAACUCCCCCAGGGCCGGAAGGCAGCAAGGGCAGGUGGGCUCUGUUGGGUGCGCGAGGGGUCUUCAUU
rnacentral:SRP_RNA from 1 species